GCCUACAUGAAGCUGGAGUUGCUAGUAAUCGCGAAUCAGCAUGUCGCGGUGAAUACGUUCCCGGGCCUUGUACACACCGCCCGUCACACCAUGAGAGUUGGCAAUACCCAACGUACGUGACCUAACCCGCAAGGGGGAAGCGUCCUAAGGUAGGGUCAGCGAUUGGGGUGAAGUCGUAACAAGGUACC
rnacentral:rRNA from 1 species